AUUGAACGCUGGCGGCAGGCCUAACACAUGCAAGUCGAGCGGAUGAAGGGAGCUUGCUUCUGGAUUCAGCGGCGGACGGGUGAGUAAUGCCUAGGAAUCUGCCUGGUAGUGGGGGAUAACGUCCGGAAACGGGCGCUAAUACCGCAUACGUCCUGAGGGUGAAAGUGGGGGAUCUUCGGACCUCACGCUAUCAGAUGAGCCUAGGUCGGAUUAGCUAGUUGGUGGGGUAAAGGCCUACCAAGGCGACGAUCCGUAACUGGUCUGAGAGGAUGAUCAGUCACACUGGAACUGAGACACGGUCCAGACUCCUACGGGAGGCAGCAGUGGGGAAUAUUGGACAAUGGGCGGAAGCCUGAUCCAGCCAUGCCGCGUGUGUGAAGAAGAUCUUCGGAUUGUAAAGCACUUUAAGUUGGGAGGAAGGGCAGUAAGUUAAUACCUUGCUGUUUUGACGUUACCAACAGAAUAAGCACCGGCUAACUUCGUG
rnacentral:rRNA from 1 species